rnacentral:rRNA from 1 species
GGCUUUGAAGCGUGGACGCCAGUCUGCGUGGAGCCAACCUUGAAAUACCACCCUUUAAUGUUUGAUGUUCUAACGUUGGCCCCUGACCGGGGUUGCGGACAGUGUCUGGUGGGGAGUUUGACUGGGGCGGUCUCCUCCCAAAGCGUAACGGAGGAGCACGAAGGUUAGCUAAUCCUGGUCGGACAUCAGGAGGUUAGUGCAAUGGCAUAAGCUAGCUUGACUGCGAGCGUGACGGCGCGAGCAGGUGCGAAAGCAGGUCAUAGUGAUCCGGUGGUUCUGAAUGGAAGGGCCAUCGCUCAACGGAUAAAAGGUACUCCGGGGAUAACAGGCUGAUACCGCCCAAGAGUUCAUAUCGACGGCGGUGUUUGGCACCUCGAUGUCGGCUCAUCACAUCCUGGGGCUGAAGUAGGUCCCAAGGGUAUGGCUGUUCGCCAUUUAAAGUGGUACGCGAGCUGGGUUUAGAACGUC